ACUUGACUAUACUACUUCUAUUCACUACUAUAUACAACUUGCUUUCAUUUCGCAUUUCUUUACUUUUCAUCUUAUUUUUCUUUUCUUUAUUUUUCCAUGUUUUAUUUUUUAUUAUUUGCUUUUUCGAGAUAGCGAUUUUUGCCAACUAUGGGUAAUCACAACAUUAGUCGGACUCAGAAGUAACCGGAGAUACAGGAUCGGUGGGAGAUUCCCUAUCAAGAAAACAAGUGGAUGAACCUCA
rnacentral:lncRNA from 1 species